GGAAGUAAAAGUCGUAACAAGGUUUCCGUAGGUGAACCUGCGGAAGGAUCAUUAUCGAGUUUUGAACGGGUUGUAGCUGGCCUCUCACGAGGCAUGUGCACGCCUGGCUCAUCCACUCUUAACCUCUGUGCACUUUAUGUAAGAGAAAAAAAUGGUGGAAGCUUCCAGGAUCUCGCGAGAGGUCUUUGGUUGAACAAGCCGUUUUUCUUUCUUAUGUUUUACUACAAACGCUUCAGUUAUAGAAUGUCAACUGUGUAUAACACAUUUAUAUACAACUUUCAGCAACGGAUCUCUUGGCUCUCGCAUCGAUGAAGAACGCAGCGAAAUGCGAUAAGUAAUGUGAAUUGCAGAAUUCAGUGAAUCAUCGAAUCUUUGAACGCACCUUGCACUCCUUGGUAUUCCGAGGAGUAUGCCUGUUUGAGUCUCAUGGUAUUCUCAACCCCUAAAUUUUUGUAAUGAAGGUUUAGCGGGCUUGGACUUGGAGGUUGUGUCGGCCCUUGUCGGUCGACUCCUCUGAAAUGCAUUAGCGUGAAUCUUACGGAUCGCCUUCAGUGUGAUAAUUAUCUGCGCUGUGGUGUUGAAGUAUUUAUUUAUGGUGUUCAUGCUUCGAACCGUCUCCUUGCCGAGACAAUCAUUUGACAAUCUGAGCUCAAAUCAGGUAGGACUACCCGCUGAACUUAAGCAUAUCAAUAAGCGGAGGA
rnacentral:rRNA from 1 species